rnacentral:rRNA from 2 species
UAGGGAAUCUUCGGCAAUGGACGAAAGUCUGACCGAGCAACGCCGCGUGAGUGAAGAAGGUUUUCGGAUCGUAAAACUCUGUUGUUAGAGAAGAACAAGGACGUUAGUAACUGAACGUCCCCUGACGGUAUCUAACCAGAGAGCCACGGCUAACUACGUGCCAGCAGCCGCGGUAAUACGUAGGUGGCAAGCGUUGUCCGGAUUUAUUGGGCGUAAAGCGAGCGCAGGCGGUUUCUUAAGUCUGAUGUGAAAGCCCCCGGCUCAACCGGGGAGGGUCAUUGGAAACUGGGAGACUUGAGUGCAGAAGAGGAGAGUGGAAUUCCAUGUGUAGCGGUGAAAUGCGUAGAUAUAUGGAGGAACACCAGUGGCGAAGGCGGCUCUCUGGUCUGUAACUGACGCUGAGGCUCGAAAGCGUGGGGAGCAAACAGG